rnacentral:tRNA from 1 species
AGCAGAGGGGCCUAGUGGAUAAAGUAGAGGCUUGGGAGUCAGAAAGACCUGGGUUCUAAUCCCAGCUCUGCCA